CAGCCUGAAAAACUGCUUGGCUGAUUUGACUAAUAAAGGCUGGUCUGUUAUAAGAGUGUGUUGAGGUGGGAAGGCUAAACUGAGGAAUUAUGUCUGACAGAAAGGAAGAAAUGACUGAGGUGGCCUUCUCAGACCCUGUGGGAAAGGCCUCUACCUAUCCAGUGAAAUUAUCUACCUAGACUAAGAGGUAUUUUAGUUAUCUGACUCAGGACAUGUUGAGUAAAGCUAAUUUGCCAGUCCUGGGUGGGGGCAAAUCCUCGAGCUUGAUGUGUAGGGAAGGGAGGGGGCCUGAAUAAUCCUUGAGUAGUAGUAGAAUAGCAGAUGGAACACUGAGAAGUUAUUUCCUUGAGGAUAGAUUUCCACGAUGGAAAGGAAAUGAGAGGUUCUAAGAGGUGGGCUAGUGGCUUGUACUAUAGCAUAACCUGCCUUUGCUGGUGUGUGGCGAUUAGGCCUGGUGGAACCGCCAUCAAUAAAUCAAGUGUGAUCAGAGUGAGGAACACGAAAGAAGGAAAUUUGGGGAAAUGGGGUGAAUGUCAGGUGGAUCGGAGAGAUACAGUCCUGGGUGUCAGGUGUGGUAUCAGGAAUAAUGUGGGAGGCUGGAUUGAAGUCUGGGCCAGGAACAAUGGAAUUGAGGGAGACUCAACAAAGAGUGAGUACAGCUGAAGGAGCCGGGGAGCAGAAAGUAUAUGCAUCAGGUAUGAGGAAGAAAAUAGAUUUUGGAAGUUAUGAGAACUGUAGAGAGUGAGUUGAGCAUAGUUUGUGAUUUUGAGGGCCUCUAAAAGUAUUAAUGCAGCGGCAGCCACUGCACGCAGACAUGAGGGCUAGGCUAAAACAGUAGGUCAAGUUGUUUGGACAGAAAGGCUACAGGGUGUGGUCCUGGCUCUUGUGUAAGAAUUCUGACCGCACUAACCAUGCCUAGGAAGGAAAGGAGUUGUUGUUUUGUAGAAGGUGCUGGGGUUUGAGAGAUUAGUCGGACACGAUCAGCAGGGAGAGCACGUGUGUUUUUAUGAGAAUUAUGCCGAGAUAGGUAACAGAUGAGGAAGAAAUUUGGGCUUGAUUGAAGUAAUGGGGGCUGUCUGUGAAGCUUUGCAGCAGUACAGCCUAGGUAUUUUGCUGAGCUUGAUGGGUGUCAGGGUCAGUCUAAGUGAAAGUGAAGAGAGGCUGGGAUUAAGGGUGCAAAGGAAUAGUAAAGAAAGCAUGUUUGAGAUCCAGAACAGAAUAAUGGGUUAUAGAGGCAGGUAUUGAGGAUAGGAGAAUAUAUGGGUUUGGCACCACUGGGUGGAUAGGCAAAACAAUUUGGUUAAUAAGGCGCAGAUCCUCAACUAACUUGUAAGGCUUGUCUGGUUUUAGGACAGGUAAAAUGGGGGAAUUGUAAGGAGAGUUUAUAGGCUUUAAAAGGCCGUGCUGUAGCAGGCGAGUGAUAACAGGCUUUAAUCUUUUUAAAGCGUGCUGCGGGAUGGGAUAUUGGGGUUGAGUGGCGUAAGGGUGAUUAGGUUUUAAUGAGAUGAUAAGGGGUGCAUGAUCAGUCACCAAGGAGGGAGUAGAGGUAUUUUAUACUUGCGGGUUAAGUUUGGGGGAUACAAGAGGAGGAUGCAAAGGAGGCUUUGGAUUGGGAAGAAGGGCAGCAAUGAGAUGCAGCUGUAGUCCAGGAAUAGUCAGGGAAGCAGACAAUUUAGUUAAAGUGUCUCAGCCUAAUAAGGGAACUGGGCAGGUGGGGAUAACUAAAAAGGAGUGCUUAAAAGAGUAUUGUCUAAGUUGGCCCCAGAGUUGGGGAGUUUUAAGAGGUUUAGAAGCCUGGCCAUCAAUACCGACAACAGCUGUGGAGGCAAGGGAAAAAGGCCCUUGAAAAGAAGGUAAUGUGGAGUGGGUAGCCUCCGUAUUGAUUAAGAAGGGGACGGGCUUACCUUCCACUGUGAGAGUUACCUGAAGCUGGGCAUCCGUGAUGGUCUAGGGGGCUUCCGAGGCAAUCAGGCAGCGUCAGUCUUCAGCCGCUAAGCCAAGAAGAUCUGGGAAGCAGUCAGAGAGCCUUGGGCCAGAGUUCCAGGGGCUCUGGGAGUGGCUGCCAGGUGAGUUGGACAGUCCGAUUUCCAGUGGGGUCCGGCACAGAUGGGACGUGGCUUAGGAGGAAUC
rnacentral:lncRNA from 10 species